CGGCAGCAGCAGGGAAUAUUGUACAAUGGGCGAAAGCCUGAUACAGCGACGCCGCGUGGAGGAUGAAGGUCUUCGGAUUGUAAACUCCUUUUCUCAGGGAAGAACUAUGACGGUACCUGAGGAAUAAGUCACGGCUAACUACGUGCCAGCAGCCGCGGUAAUACGUAGGUGGCUAGCGUUAUCCGGAUUUAUUGGGCGUAAAGAGAGCGUAGGCGGCUCAUCAAGUCAGAUGUGAAAUCUCCUGGCUCAACUGGGAGGAGUCAUCUGAUACUGCUGGGCUUGAGGACAGUAGAGGGAGAUGGAAUUCCCGGUGUAGUGGUGAAAUACGUAGAUAUCGGGAGGAACACCAGUGGCGAAAGCGGUCUCCUGGGCUGUCCCUGACGCUCAUGCUCGAAAGCGUGGGGAGCGAACAGGAUUAGAUACCCUUGUAGUC
rnacentral:rRNA from 1 species